GACGAACGCUGGCGGCGUGCUUAACACAUGCAAGUCGAACGGAAAGGCCCUGCUUUUGUGGGGUGCUCGAGUGGCGAACGGGUGAGUAACACGUGAGUAACCUGCCCUUGACUUUGGGAUAACUUCAGGAAACUGGGGCUAAUACCGGAUAGGAGCUCCUGCUGCAUGGUGGGGGUUGGAAAGUUUCGGCGGUUGGGGAUGGACUCGCGGCUUAUCAGCUUGUUGGUGGGGUAGUGGCUUACCCAGGCUUUGACGGGUAGCCGGCCUGAGAGGGUGACCGGCCACAUUGGGACUGAGAUACGGCCCAGACUCCUACGGGAGGCAGCAGUGGGGAAUAUUGCACAAUGGGCGGAAGCCUGAUGCAGAAACGCCGCGUGCGGGAUGACGGCCUUCGGGUUGUAAACCGCUUUCGCCUGUGACGAAGCGUGAGUGACGGUAAUGGGUAAAGAAGCACCGGCUAACUACGUG
rnacentral:rRNA from 1 species